rnacentral:rRNA from 1 species
UACGUAGGGGGCAAGCGUUGUCCGGAUUUAUUGGGCGUAAAGAGCGUGUAGGCGGCCAUACAGGUCAGCUGUGAAAACUCGAGGCUCAACCUCGAGACGUCGGUUGAAACCGUAUGGCUAGAGUCCGGAAGAGGAGAGUGGAAUUCCCGGUGUAGCGGUGAAAUGCGCAGAUAUCGGGAAGAACACCCGUGGCGAAGGCGGCUCUCUGGGACGGUACUGACACUGAGGCGCGAAAGCGUGGGGAUCGAACCGG